AAAGUCGUAACAAGGUUUCCGUAGGUGAACCUGCGGAAGGAUCAUUAUUAUUUGGAUAGAGUUUAUUUCUUAAUCAGAAAUGAACUUUUGCCAAAUAUUUAAGAUUUUUAUCCUAUUUUUAUAGGAGCAAGAUAAAUAUUUAAAACCCACACUUUUAAAAUUGUAUAUUUUAUAUUGUAUGAUAAAUUAAGAUCACUUUCAACAACGGAUCUCUUGGCUCUC
rnacentral:misc_RNA from 1 species